GGGGCUGACCGGUUUUGACAGCGCGUAGAAGUGGUGUGUAAGCGUGCAGAGCUUUGAGGCAUAUGCUCUAUAAUAUCAGGCUUCGACCAAUUUAAAUGGCGAAAAUAACUACGCUCUUGCUGCCUAAUCGAAGUACAGUAGAUUACGCUUAAUCGCCGCAACAGUUGCAGCGACAAGACAUUGCCCGAUUGCCGUCGUUCCGAGGCCAAUCGAUCCGGCAGUGCUAAUAAAUCGGAAAUAGGGUCGCCGGCUCCUCGGAAGCGUCCCGAAGUUUUAGAGGAUAAGGAAGCGCUUGGUGGUUUCAGGCCUGACGCUUCCCGACAAUCAACUUGAAACUACGCACGUAGAAAGCUCAUUAGUUCCGCGUUUGGACGAGAGUUCGAAUCUCUCCAGCUCCACU
rnacentral:tmRNA from 1 species